UACGUAGGGGGCAAGCGUUGUCCGGAAUUAUUGGGCGUAAAGAGCGUGUAGGCGGCCAGAUAAGUCCGCUGUGAAAUCUCGAGGCUCAACUUCGAGCUGUCGGUGGAAACUAUCUGGCUAGAGUCCGGAAGAGGAGAAUGGAAUUCCUGGUGUAGCGGUGAAAUGCGCAGAUAUCAGGAGGAACACCGGUGGCGAAGGCGGAUCUCUGGGCCUUACCUGACGCUCAGGCGCGAAAGCUAGGGGAGCGAACUGG
rnacentral:rRNA from 1 species